UACAUUGUUAGCCAGACUCCAGCCUUCACCGUUCCCCGUAUGGGCUUCUCCUCUGGCCGGUUCCGUGUGUCCGCCGACUUCUCGGAGUGCAGCUAGUCGCUGAACAUGGGCCUUAUGACCGACCACAGCAGAGCGAUCUCGGGCGUAACAGGGGGCGGCAACAUCAAGGCGUCUUGGUCCCAGUUCCGACGAACGCUGCUGUUUUGUUUAGUUCUGUUUUGUGUUUGUGUUUGUUUCAUUCCGUUUGUGAGUCGGCUGUGUUUAGCCACCACGAAGUCAGCCCUCAUUGAUUAACUGAAGUGACGACAGGUGUGCUGCUGUUUGCUCACGAGUGACUACGAAUUCAGUUCGGUUAUGGAGGCUAAUUCCUUAGCUUGUUGCACUGCGUGUCAUGAUUUGUCACCAUAAGCCUGCGUGAGUGAUUGUGAUGAUUACACUGUUUGCUGUGACAACUGAGUGCUGUGCAUU